UACGUAGGUGGCAAGCGUUGUCCGGAAUUACUGGGUGUAAAGGGCGUGUAGGCGGGGGAACAAGUCAGAUGUGAAAUCCCGAGGCUUAACUUCGGAGCUGCAUCUGAAACUGUUCUUCUUGAGUGUCGGAGAGGAAAGUGGAAUUCCCAGUGUAGCGGUGAAAUGCGUAGAGAUUGGGAGGAACACCAGUGGCGAAGGCGGCUUUCUGGACGAUAACUGACGCUGAGGCGCGAAAGCGUGGGGAGCAAACAGG
rnacentral:rRNA from 1 species